rnacentral:tRNA from 1 species
GCACCGCUAGCUCAAUUGGUAGAGCAGGCGACUCUUAAUCGUCAGGUUAUAGGUUCAAAUCCUAUGCGGUGCA